rnacentral:rRNA from 1 species
UACGGGGGGAGCAAGCGUUGUUCGGAUUUACUGGGCGUAAAGGGCGCGUAGGCGGUCGUGACAAGUCACUUGUGAAAUCUCCGGGCUUAACUCGGAACGGUCAAGUGAUACUGUCGGACUAGAGUACAGAAGGGGCAACUGGAAUUCUCGGGUGUAGCGGUGAAAUGCGUAGAUAUCGGGAGGAACACCAGUGGCGAAGGCGACUACCUGGCCUGUUCUUGACGCUGAGGCGCGAAAGCUAGGGGAGCAAACGGGG